GGCGUGCGGGGGGCGCGGCGCCUGGGACCCGCUGCACGCGGCUGGCCUCGGGACUCCGCGGCCCCGCGGGGCUGGGCGAGCGCGGCAUUGGGGCCCGCGCGCGGCCACGCAGACGGCGGCGGGCUGGACCUCCCGUGAGCGGAGACACCCACGAUUGUGUGGAAACACUGGAGAGAACCGCCUCCCGAUGACCCGAGAUCAGUAAUCGCCGAUUUGUGUUGGCCGGUCGUUUUCCCUGUAGCAAGGGCGCAUGGACCAGAGUGAGCAGUAAACUUCUGUCGCUGGUUACGAACUAGGAAAGAAGCGGGCAACAGGCUGAGACUGCCGCGAAGACCUAAGAAUGUCCAGCAGUCAGUCUCCUGACUCCGGGGGGACUGAACCGGAUGACCUUGCAGGACCCGGGGCCAGCGGCACCCAACCCCCUGAUGACCUUGCAGGACCCCCGGCCGGCCGCCCCCGCCCCGAGGUCCCCCGCCCCGAGGUCCCGGGGAAAGACUCUGAUGAAAGGCGGAGCCAGAAAUACCAGCUUCCGAGCAAGUACCUGGAGAGCCGCCACAGCGACCGGCAAGACCGGGACAGAGUUUCUGAAGAACUGAUCAUGGUUGUCCGAGAAAUGAAAAAAUACUUCCCGUCGGGGAGACACCGUAAACCGAGCACCCUGGAUGCCCUCAGCUAUGCCCUCCGCUGUGUGCACAGCAUACAAGCAAGCAGUGAGUUUUUCCAGACUCGCAGUCCCCAUGGAGCGCCUCAAGCAGAUGUGACCGUGUACAGUCUUGGGGAGCUGGCCUCCAUGGCUGCAGAGCACACUUCCAAGAACACAGACACCUUCGUGGCCGUGUUCUCAUUGGUGUCUGGGAGGGUGGUGCACAUCUCCGAGCAGGCGCCUUCCGUCCUGAGCUGUCGGAGAGAGUCCUUGGCGUCCUCUCACUUCGCGGAGCUGCUCGCCCCUCAAGAUGUGAGGACGUUCUACACGCACACGGCCCAGGCUCAGCUUCCCGUCUGGAGCAGCUGGACCCAAAGAGCGUCGCGGUACGAACUGGCUCCCGUGAAGUCCUUUUUCUGCAGGAUCCGCGGAGGCGGCGGCCAAGGGCAGCGUUACGCCCCGUUCCGGGUGAUUCCCUAUUUGAUUCACGUGCGGCCGCAGUCGGAGCCGGAGCUGGAGCCGGAGCCGGAGCCCUGCUGCCUCGCGCUGGCCGAGAAGAUGCACUCUGGCUACGAAGCUCCUCGGAUCCCUGUGGAUAAAAGAAUUUUUACCACAACACACACUCCAGGCUGUGUUUUUCUUGAAAUAGAUGACCGGGCCGUGCCUUUGCUGGGGUACCUGCCGCAGGACCUGGUCGGCACGUCCAUCCUCACGCACCUGCACCCGGACGACCGCUCUCUGAUGGUCGCCGUCCACCAGGAAGUGCUGCGGUCCGCGGGCCACGCCCCCUUUGAGCACCGCCCCGUGCGCUUCUGCACACACAACGGCGAUUACGUCACCCUGGAUUCCAGCUGGUCCGGCUUCGUGGACCCGUGGAGCCGCAAGGUGUCCUUCAUCAUGGGCCGGCACAAAGUGCGGACGAGCCCGCUGAACGAGGAUGUUUUUGCUGCCAGAAUAAGCAAGAUGGACAAUAACGACAAAGACAUAACGGAAUUACAGGAACAGAUUCACAGACUUCUGUUACAGCCAGUCCACGGGAGCGCCUCCAGUGGCUACGGCAGCCUGGGGAGCAGCGGGUCCCAGGAGCAGCACGUCAGCGUGGCCUCCUCCGGCGAGUCCAGCGGGCGGGGGGCGGAGGACGCCCAGAAGGAGCCGUUGACUUUGCAGCAGGUCUAUGCCGGUGUCAACAAAAUUAAAACCCUGGGCCAGCAGCUGCACAUCGAGUCCAUGGCCAAGCCACCCAACCAGCCAGCGGUGGGGACGCGCGCAGGACGGCCCAGUGGUGAGCAGAAGGCCUUUUCUUCCGUACAGCCCUGGAAGAAUGAGAGCGUGCGCACUGAGUCUUGUCAGGGUUUGAGGAAAGACCAGCAUAGCCCCUCCUACCAGCAAAUCAACUGCAUCGACAGUGUCAUCAGAUACCUGAGGAGCUGCCGCACCCCAGCUCUGAAGAGAAAGUGUACCUCCUGCACAAAUACCACUUCGUCCUCAGAAGACGGCCGGCAGGCCCACGAGGCAGACGGUGCCCACGCCUUGCGAGCUGCGUCUCGGAUCCCAUCAGUCCCUUCACCAGAAGUGCCAGCUCACGGACGGUCCACCGGUGCCGAGGGCGGAGCUGCGCGGACCGAGGCCAGGGCGGCGCCGAGCCUGGGCUCCGGCAUCAGCCAGUGCAGCUACAGCAGCACCAUGGUCCACGCCCCGCCCCCAGACCCAGCAGAACCGACUCCCGCUGAGGACGCCGCCCCCGCCUGCGAGCCCUGGGCGCCCGGCACCCUGCCGGCCCCGUUGACCGCAGAGGAGUCUCAGCACGUGGGGCUCACCACGGCCGUGCUGUCGGCGCACACGCAGAGGGAGGAGCAGGACUACGUGGACAGGUUCCGGGAGAAGAUGCUGUCCUCCCCCUACAGCUCCUACCUGCAGCACGAAGGCAGAGGACAGGCCACGUGUUCAGAUGGUCAAGGAGCCUCCUCUCCCGGGCAGGCCAGGCCUCCUGGGGGCAAGAAGGGGAAGCACAAGCGGAAGAAGCUGCCGGAGCCACUGGGCAGCCGGUGUGCAGAGGAUGCCUGCUGUCCCCACUUCAGAAGGGACGUCCAGGACGCUCAGCCCUGGAGCCUACCUCCUGCCUCCCCUCUCCAUGCCCCCGGCCUGGCGUUCCCGGCGGCAGUCGUGGCUCCCAGCCAGGCCCUCCCUUACCUCGUGCCAGCAUUGCCCUUGCCCACUGUGGCCCCGGGGGGGCACUGCCCGCCUUUCCCAGAUGUGCCUUCACCUUACACGGAGACUUUCCUAACCAUUGUGCUGCCUGGCCCCUCUGUGUGCCCUCUGUGGGCACCGUCGUUCUCUCCAUCCCUGUAUUUGGGCGGAGCAGGCCCUUCUGAAACGCCACCCUCAGUACCAACAGCAGCUCCCAGUGUGGAACCAACGCCUCCAGUCACCACCCAGAGGGGCGCUGGGCAGAGCUGGGAGACGCAGAGCGCAGGGCGCCCGGGCCCCAGCUCCAGGGGCAGCUCGCCGCUGCAGUUGGCUUUGCUGCAGGAGGACAGGCCCCCGUCCUGCGAGUCUGCAGAGCAGCAGUGUGCUCCAGGCCACAGCGGGGAGAUCAACCAUUUCUCUGCCAGGGACCCGUCCCCGGGGCCCCUGCCCAGGGAGUCCCCACCUGGACCCGGCUCUGCGGCAUCAGGGAGCAGUGGCAGCAGCAUGUGCCUGUCUGGUAGCGACGGCUCCUCUGAAGUUGCCCCCGACGGGCGGCAGCCUCGGGAAGUGCGGGCGGGGGACGCCGUUCCCCACGCAGCGGAGGAGCCCGUGUGGAGGAUGAUAGCGCAGACGCCCGAGUGCGUCCUCAUGACGUACCAGCUGCCCGAGAGGGUGCAAGACGUGGUCCUGCGGGAAGACCUGGCGAAGCUGGAGGGCAUGAGGCGGCGGCAGCCACAGUUCUCUGCGGGGCAGCAGGCGGAGCUGGCCGGGGCGAGGGCCGGGACGCAGAGCCGGGGCCUCCCUCCGGGAGCGGACACGCACGGCUGUGCCUCCUGCAGGGACAGAGCCGCGGGCGGUGACACGGGAGGAGCCUGCAGCCAGGACCCCGGACGGCAGCUGAGUGGCCGUGAGGUGCCAAGAACAGCCUCCCGGGACAUCUCGGAGCCCCUGACUGUAAAUGACCGCGACGUUGUCCUUGAACGCUAAGGUUUCUCCUCCUCGGCCUCUCGAUGGAAUCGCUUCUCCGAAGCAGACUUGGUUUACAGAAUCUUUUCCUUCUCCCUGUUCCCGGCGUCUGAAAACACAGCCGGCUUUUUCUGGCUCAGCCGUGUCCGGAGGACUGGAGGGCUUCGCAAAGCUGUGUGUGCAGCAGAGGGAGGGGUAGUGAGCGUAGACCGCAGAGCCCAACCUGACCUCAGCCUCAUGGCCUUGGCUCUGCUGCUACGUCCGUCAUUCCCAUCAGAGACAGGGGAGUCGCGCCCAGGGCCCUGCGCCUCCGGGGUCCCUAACCUGUCCAGUCAGCGCAGGUGACGCUGCCCCAUGACCAGCACCAGACGCCCGUGAGCUCACAGCACCCGGCCUCCUGUUGGCCGAGGGCACGCGCUGCCCGACGGGCCGGUGCCGAGCUCCGCGGGAUCGGGACUUCACCCGCACAGAGGCUCCUCGCGGCUCCACCUGCCACGGAACCGGGUCUCAUCUGCGGAAGCGACCCGCUGCAGCCGGCUCAUGCCGGGGCCGUGGAAGUUCGCUUUCGCGUGUGAAAGCUUCUCACUCAAUCAGUGGAGUGCUGCAGCCCAGUUUGCAAGCCAGCGGACAGCCAGCCAAGAGGAGAGGAUCUACUUCUGACUCAACCGCCUGCGACCAGCCACGCCGUCGACUGCCGUGAGUCGGGGUAGAGCUGCGCCCCGGGAUUAAAUGUGUUUCCACUGGGAGUGGCUCUUUCUCCUGCCCAGCACCUGCUGCUGCCUCUGGCUCGUGGGGACUCGGUGGGAAAACGGGGGAGGAGAGGAAAGGACUGGCUUUCUGCAAGCAGGGUUAUGUGCUUCCUAUUGGCAGAGAUGCCAUCGCCGCCCCUUUCAGGCCUUUAAGAGGUCAAGGCUGUUAUUAGACAAGAGUCAGCUUUCAAAUCCUCUUUAAAGAGCUUGACAGGAAUGUUGCCCAUGUGAAGUGCGGCCAACCUCAGGCCUCUGUCAGUUGGAGAGAAAGUAGAUAUGGACGGGAAGAGCAGGGAGCACAGGGAAGGCGUGUGGGUAGUGCCUGUGGGUGUGAGGCUUGGCCGGGGUAGCUCUCGGCCAGGGGGCACCAUGUUGAGAUUGGGGACUCGGCGUCAGGUGAUGCAUGUAACACAAGGCUUGCACGUCCCCAGCUGCAGCCUUCAUCGAAAGACAGUGAGCCAACAUGAUAAAGGCACCUGAGCAAGUCCCCGCACUUCUGAGAACGUGAAUGAGAACCAGUGAAGUCGGCCACAUAGACGUGUUGAUGUCAUAAAGGGUCAUUUAUGGAGAAACAAAUGAGAAAAAAUAUCCAGGCAAAAAAAUCUAACGUAAGGUGCCACCUGUUUGGAAUUUGAGUGAGAUGGCACCCUCAUUUCAUUGAAGUUUUUUUAUUUUUUGUAAAUACUUUUUUAUUUCAUCUAAGUUUUUAAAAUCAUAAUAAUAUGCAAAGUUUGGAAGAUGAGCCAGCCACUCCAAGCGGUGCUUGGCAAUUAUCGGAAAAUUGGGAGAAACUUGAGAGACUAGAAGUUAUAGAAUCAGUGGCUAAGAAGAACUCUUUUUUUCUUCAUUUAAAGAAAAAUCGUUUAAAAGAACCCAAAAUUAAAGACAAGAUAAAACCCAGUGAAAAUGUUUGUGGAACCUGCUCCCUAAGCAUCAGUCCUCGUUUUUGUUUCUUAAACUGAAGAGGUGAGAGCACAAUACGUGUCUGCUUCACUCAUGCAUUUUUUCAAAUUGAGCUCAGACCUGAACUGCAUGCAGCAUCCACCCGCAGGGAGA